rnacentral:rRNA from 1 species
UACGAAGGGGGCUAGCGUUGCUCGGAAUUACUGGGCGCAAAGGGCGCGUAGGCGGAUAGUUUAGUCAGAGGUAAAAGCCCAGGGCUCAACCUUGGAACUGCCUUUGAUACUGGCUAUCUUGAGUUCGGGAGAGGUGAGUGGAAUGCCGAGUGUAGAGGUGAAAUUCGUAGAUAUUCGGCGGAACACCAGUGGCGAAGGCGACUCACUGGCCCGAUACUGACGCUGAGGCGCGAAAGCGUGGGGAGCAAACAGG